rnacentral:misc_RNA from 1 species
GAUAUAAUUUGCCUUUCUAAAUCAUGCGUUGAUCGCUUCUGGGGAAAAGAAAAUGUGCCCGUUGAGGAUUAUUCUGAUAUUUCUCUCUGCUACUCUCGCCGGAUUUUUCGUUGUAAGAAACUUCAAAUCACAGCCCCUUAUCGCCGACGACAAUGAUUCCGACGAAUCUUCCACUAAUGAUCGUCCAUUUCCCUCCAAGGUUCGAUCUGCAAUAGAAUCUGGAUUUUGGACCUGCGUGGAUAUGGCGAGUGGACGAUACCUGUGGAGGCAUUUGGUUUCUUCUCCUUCUCCGUCGUCUUCGUCUUCUUCUCCUAAGCGUUCUAAUUGAUGGUUUGUUGUUCAGGUUUGCUUUUGCUUCAAUUUGUAGCAGAUGAUUUCCAUGUAUCAUUUGUAAUGUUGUAAUUGAAUUCAAAAUGGUACUUCUUGUUGUUGUUACUGAUGUUGGUUGUAAUUGAACCUCUGCUUUUGCUUCUACAGAAUCUGCUGCUUUUCUCUUUUGCUUUAGCUAAACUGCAAUUUUAGUACAAUCUGUUGGAUGAAUUAGAAUAAUGAAAGCUAAAG